ensembl:lncRNA
UGUGUGUGUGUGUGUGUGUGUGUGUGUGUGCGCGCACCCCUGCUGUUAAACUAGUGAGUGUGUAGGUGUGUUCCUGGAGGUUGGACAGACCAUGCCCAGUAUUGUACUGUUGGAAGUGAAGCUUCCGUUUGGCAGUGUGUGUGUGUGUGUGUGUGUUUGGGACCUUACCACUCCUGCAGAGUCCUUGUCCGGCUCUUGCUGAUGGCUGCUGUGUGUGUGUGUGUGUGUGUGUGUGUGUGUUUGUGAUUACUGUGUCACAGAGGUGUGUGUGUGUGUGAUUACUGCGUCACAGAGGUGUGUGUGUGUGUGUGUGUGGUGAUUACUGUGUCACAGAGGUGUGUGUGUGUGUGUGUGUGUGUGUGUGAGUGAUGACCGUGUCACAGAGGUGUGUUUGUGUGUGUGUGUGAUUACUACGUCACAGAGGUGUGUGUGUGUUUGUGAUUACUGUGUCACAGAGGUGUGUGUGUGUGUGUGUGUGUGUGUGUGUGUGUGUGUGAUUACUGUGUCACAGAGGUGUGUGUGUGUGUG